GAGGGAAAAGGAGCAAUCCGCUUUGAGAUGGCCUCGCGUCCGAUUAGCUAGUUGGUGAGGUAAUGGCCCACCAAGGCGACGAUCGGUAGCCGGACUGAGAGGUUGAACGGCCACAUUGGGACUGAGACACGGCCCAGACUCCUACGGGAGGCAGCAGUGGGGAAUAUUGCACAAUGGGGGAAACCCUGAUGCAGCGACGCCGCGUGGAGGAAGAAGGUCUUCGGAUUGUAAACUCCUGUUGUUGGGGAAGAUAAUGACGGUACCCAACAAGGAAGUGACGGCUAACUACGUGCCAGCAGCCGCGGUAAAACGUAGGUCACAAGCGUUGUCCGGAAUUACUGGGUGUAAAGGGAGCGCAGGCGGGAAGACAAGUUGGAAGUGAAAUCUAUGGGCUCAACCCAUAAACUGCUUUCAAAACUGUUUUUCUUGAGUAGUGCAGAGGUAGGCGGAAUUCCCGGUGUAGCGGUGGAAUGCGUAGAUAUCGGGAGGAACACCAGUGGCGAAGGCGGCCUACUGGGCACCAACUGACGCUGAGGCUCGAAAGUGUGGGUAGCAAACAGGAUUAGAUACCCUGGUAGUCCACACCGUAAACGAUGAUUACUAGGUGUUGGAGGAUUGACCCCUUCAGUGCCGCAGUUAACACAAUAAGUAAUCCACCUGGGGAGUACGACCGCAAGGUUGAAACUCAAAGGAAUUGACGGGGGCCCGCACAAGCAGUGGAGUAUGUGGUUUAAUUCGACGCAACGCGAAGAACCUUACCAAGUCUUGACAUCCCUUGACAGGCAUAGAAAUAUGUUUUCUCUUCGGAGCAAGGAGACAGGUGGUGCAUGGUUGUCGUCAGCUCGUGUCGUGAGAUGUUGGGUUAAGUCCCGCAACGAGCGCAACCCUUAUGGUCAGUUACUACGCAAGAGGACUCUGGCCAGACUGCCGUUGACAAAACGGAGGAAGGUGGGGAUGACGUCAAAUCAUCAUGCCCUUUAUGACUUGGGCUACACACGUACUACAAUGGCGUUAAACAAAGAGAAGCAAGACCGCGAGGUGGAGCAAAACUCAGAAACAACGUCCCAGUUCGGACUGCAGGCUGCAACUCGCCUGCACGAAGUCGGAAUUGCUAGUAAUCGUGGAUCAGCAUGCCACGGUGAAUACGUUCCCGGGCCUUGUACACACCGCCCGUCACACCAUGAGAGCCGGGGGGACCCGAAGUCGGUAGUCUAACCGCAAGGAGGACGCCGCCGAAGGUAAAACUGGUGAUUGGGGUGAAGUCGUAACAAGGUAGCCGUAGGAGAACCUGCGGCUGGAUCACCUCCUUUCU
rnacentral:rRNA from 1 species